rnacentral:rRNA from 1 species
UACGAAGGGGGGCUAGCGUUGCUCGGAAUCACUGGGCGUAAAGCGCACGUAGGCGGCUUUCUAAGUCAGGGGUGAAAUCCCGGAGCUCAACUCCGGAACUGCCUUUGAUACUGGAGAGCUUGAGUUCGGGAGAGGUGAGUGGAACUGCGAGUGUAGAGGUGAAAUUCGUAGAUAUUCGCAAGAACACCAGUGGCGAAGGCGGCUCACUGGCCCGAUACUGACGCUGAGGUGCGAAAGCGUGGGGAGCAAACAGG